GACGAACGCUGGCGGCGUGCUUAACACAUGCAAGUCGAACGGAAAGGCCUCUUUCGGGGGGUACUCGAGUGGCGAACGGGUGAGUACACGUGAGUAACCUGCCCUUGACUUUGGGAUAACUUCAGGAAACUGGGGCUAAUACCGGAUAGGAGCUCCUGCUGCAUGGUGGGGGUUGGAAAGUUUCGGCGGUUGGGGAUGGACUCGCGGCUUAUCAGCUUGUUGGUGGGGUAGUGGCUUACCAAGGCUUUGACGGGUAGCCGGCCUGAGAGGGUGACCGGCCACAUUGGGACUGAGAUACGGCCCAGACUCCUACGGGAGGCAGCAGUGGGGAAUAUUGCACAAUGGGUGGAAGCCUGAUGCAGCAACGCCGUGUGCGGGAUGACGGCCUUCGGGUUGUAAACCGCUUUCGCUCAUGACGAAGCUUUGUGUGACGGUAGUGGGUAAAGAAGCACCGGCUAACUACGUG
rnacentral:rRNA from 1 species